CCGGGAGGGUCUGGGGUCGGUUCGGGUUUUUAAAUGACGAACGGCCACAACGGGGGCUCUUGUGCCCUCGCUGCCUUGGGCAGGGAAAAGCCUUCUCGCUUGGAAGUUUCGUUUGAAAGAGAUGUCGGGCGAGGAGGGCGGAGCUUGGCAGGGACGGAGCACGGCGGAGGAGGCGGAACCCCGGCCUUGGCGCGGCCGGAUGAGCCAUGGCAGCGCCGCACGUGUCCGACAAAGCCUUACCUGAUGGAAGCCCCACCAAAGCAAAGGGAAUGAUUGGCUAAGUCCCUUACCGAGUUUUUGUCCCUUUUUCAAUUAACAGUGCUAAUGAAGUUCUUCCCAUUAUCAUUAAGUUUCCCGCAAAUGUUAGCUCCACGCUGUAAAACAGCAUUGUAUGAUCAGUUAGCUCCUGCCCAGGGCCUCGGCCCCGCUUCCUACAGUCCUGUUUUCCGACAAAAAGAGCCAUUCUUCUGCAUCUCCCACAGCCAGACAGCGCAGCACCAUCUUUGUUCCUUUAAAAGUCUUCUAAAGUGGAAUUCCUUAGCUGGAAUUUCUGGGAACACAUCAGCUGUUCAGAAAGGACCCUGGAAUUCCAGCCUAUAAACCCUACAAAUCUCUCUGUAAUUCCUAGAAAGAACAAGGAUAUACCGGGAAAACACAAAGAAAUUUUCAGAGAGUGAUGGAAAAUUCCUAGAGUCCAGUCUGAGUUCCUAAAAAGCCUACUGAAAAUCCACAGAAAGCCCACUGAAAUUUCUAGAAGGCCCAUGGAUAUUUUAUAAAUAGCACCAGUUAAAUCCUAGGAACAGGAAAUUUCUAAGUGUUAGUUUGUGUUCUCACUGCUCCCUGGGUGUGUGACAAUUAGCAUUUGAGUUAGCUUUGGAGUUGCUGUGAGUGCUGUUAAGUGGUCAGGGUGGUGAGUGAGCUGGCAACUGAGAUUUCUGGGUUUGGAUAUUUCUAUACUAAGUACCAAAUUUCUAUGUAUAUAAAAAAGCAUAGUGAUUAUACACCUCAAACUUCUAACAACAUAAACAGUGGAUAUACUCUGUAUUUAAAGGGAGUAUCUCUACACCAGAGGCUUCAUCUUUCUGUUCCCCACACGCUUUCAGGGAUCCCACAAUAGCAAACUUUAACUAUUAAUGUUGAGGUUUUACCUACUUGAGCCUGUCAGGCACUUUGCUUAUCCCUGAGGGAGAAAGGACUGGCUCCCUUGUCCAUUCAUAGCCCCCUCACCUCCACUGUGAGUGCAGCCUUCUGGAUCCUUGCUCCAGCCAAAUGAUUCCAUGAGGCUGUGAACUCCUCCUCCAGUUUGUCACCUGUCCUUUUAACUUUUUAAAGGAGUGAAAGACUCACCUUAGAGAGUGGCUCCAAGGUUUUGAAGCAGAACAGCUGCAGCUGCCCUUCUCUGUAAAGGCAGCUGCACUUUCCCGUGUUUCCUCUCACCUGCUUUGUUUUGGUGAUGAUCAGGCACUGCCCAUGGCCAAAGAAAUGGACUUAGAGAGUCUAAUUUUUCAGGCUGAUGUGCCUCCAGCUGGCUUUCUCCUCUGAGAAUCCAGACAGAACUGACACCGUGCCCUGAGCAGGAUGGUGGGAAGGGUGUGUGGGAUCUGGGCUUUGCUUGAUUGUAUUUUUUUGUUCGUUUUCUCCUCACAUUCUUGCAGAAUUUCUCCUCUGGUGAGCAGGCAAGGCUGCUAUGCCUUGUGUCAUGCUCCUGGGCUUCUUGGGGAGGGACACUUUUUUGGAGAGGUGCUGCCCAUGGAAGGGAACAUCCACUGCCGGCCAGCACCUGGGCUAAGGCUCAAGGUGGCCCCAGAGGUGGGCUGAAAACCCAACCUGUCACCAACACCAAGAGCAGCAAGCAAGAGAAGAGCCUGGGGCUGGCUGGCCUGCAGGGGUGAGGGUGGAGAGUGCUUCAGCUGCCAGGAUGCAGGAGAUAAAUGGCCAAUAUCAUCACUGUUAGCAGCAGUGCCCACCCUCCACACUGAAAGGCAAGGAGGAAGAGCUUUGCCUGGCCCUGGAAGGAAGGGGAAAGAGGGAGGCUGACACUGCUGUGAUGGAGAGAGCCAUUUCAGGUUCAUUCUUGGCUCCACUCCAUUGGAGAACAGAUCUGGAUGAUGCUGAGAACUGCAAGCUCUAACCAGCAACCUGAGACAUUUCAACUUGAGGGACUUCUGCCUGAAGCCUAGGACUCAAAACUGGCUUUCAUUCCCACAUUUCUGCUCAGUAUCCCUUGGCUUUGCAGAGAACAAAGACAGACUAUCCCAUUGCUAUAGUAACAUUAACCAAAAUAAACCAUCUGCUAGAAAAGCU